GACGAACGCUGGCGGCGUGCUUAACACAUGCAAGUCGAACGGAAAGGCCCUGCUUUUGUGGGGUGCUCGAGUGGCGAACGGGCGAGUAACACGUGAGUAACCUGCCCUUGACUUUGGGAUAACUUCAGGAAACUGGGGCUAAUACCGGAUAGGAGCUCCUGCUGCAUGGUGGGGGUUGGAAAGUUUCGGCGGGUGGGGAUGGACUCGCGGCUUAUCAGCUUGUUGGUGGGGUAGUGGCUUACCAAGGCUUUGACGGGUAGCCGGCCUGAGAGGGUGACCGGCCACAUUGGGACUGAGAUACGGCCCAGACUCCUACGGGAGGCAGCAGUGGGGAAUAUUGCACAAUGGGCGGAAGCCUGAUGCAGCAACGCCGCGUGCGGGAUGACGGCCUUCGGGUUGUAAACCGCUUUCGCCUGUGACGAAGCGUGAGUGACGGUAAUGGGUAAAGAAGCACCGGCUAACUACGUG
rnacentral:rRNA from 1 species